rnacentral:rRNA from 1 species
AGCUAAGGUCCCAAAGUCAUGGUUAAGUGGGAAACGAUGUGGGAAGGCCCAGACAGCCAGGAUGUUGGCUUAGAAGCAGCCAUCAUUUAAAGAAAGCGUAAUAGCUCACUGGUCGAGUCGGCCUGCGCGGAAGAUGUAACGGGGCUAAACCAUGCACCGAAGCUGCGGCAGCGAACGUAUCACUUAAAGCGAUUCAGCGGGUUACGAUUGACGGAGCGAAGCGACGUCAAAGCGUAUACAAAGUCGAGUCGGUUUAAGGAUACGUUCGUUGGGUAGGGGAGCGUUCUGUAAGCCUGUGAAGGUGGCCUGUGAGGGUUGCUGGAGGUAUCAGAAGUGCGAAUGCUGACAUAAGUAACGAUAAAGCGGGUGAAAAGCCCGCUCGCCGGAAGACCAAGGGUUCCUGUCCAACGUUAAUCGGGGCAGGGUGAGUCGACCCCUAAGGCGAGGCCGAAAGGCGUAGUCGAUGGGAAACGGGUUAAUAUUCCCGUACUUGGUGUUACUGCGAAGGGGGGACGGAGAAGGCUAUGUUGGCCGGGCGACGGUUGUCCCGGUUUAAGCGUGUAGGUGUGUGUUCCAGGUAAAUCCGGUUCACUUUAACACUGAGGCGUGACGACGAGGCACUACGGUGCUGAAGCAACAAAUGCCCUGCUUCCAGGAAAAGCCUCUAAGCAUCAGGUAACAUCAAAUCGUACCCCAAACCGACACAGGUGGUCAGGUAGAGAAUACCAAGGCGCUUGAGAGAACUCGGGUGAAGGAACUAGGCAAAAUGGUGCCGUAA